CUAUAAGCCACACUACUUGGGUGCUGGAAACUGAACUCUGAUCGUCUAGAAGACCACUGAAGGAUCUCCAAAGUCCCCACAAAAAGUAUAGGAUCACACGGUUAUUGAUGGAUUCAGAAAUGGGACCUGAAGAUCUAUCAUAAUAACUGCAGAG
rnacentral:lncRNA from 14 species